rnacentral:rRNA from 1 species
AACGAACGCUGGCGGCGCGUCUUAAGCAUGCAAGUCGAACGGCAAGAGAGGAGCUUGCUUCUCUCCUAGAGUGGCGGACUGGUGAGGAACACGUGGGUAAUCUACCCUUAAGAUGGGGAUAGCUGCUAGAAAUAGCAGGUAAUACCGAAUACACUCGGCAUAUCACAAGAGGUGUUGAGGAAAGGAAGCUACGGCUUCGCUUGAGGAUGAGCUUGCGUCCCAUUAGCUAGUUGGUGAGGUAAAGGCCCACCAAGGCGACGAUGGGUAUCCGGCCUGAGAGGGUGAACGGACACAUUGGGACUGAGAUACGGCCCAGACUCCUACGGGAGGCAGCAGCUAAGAAUAUUCCGCAAUGGACGGAAGUCUGACGGAGCGACGCCGCGUGGAUGAAGAAGGCUGAAAAGUUGUAAAAUCCUUUUGUUGAUGAAGAAUAAGGGUGAGAGGGAAUGCUCAUCUGAUGACGGUAAUCGACGAAUAAGCCCCGGCUAAUUACGUG